ACUAAGCGUACACGGUGGAUGCCCUGGCAGUCAGAGGCGAUGAAGGACGUGCUAAUCUGCGAUAAGCGUCGGUAAGGUGAUAUGAACCGUUAUAACCGGCGAUUUCCGAAUGGGGAAACCCAGUGUGUUUCGACACACUAUCAUUAACUGAAUCCAUAGGUUAAUGAGGCGAACCGGGGGAACUGAAACAUCUAAGUACCCCGAGGAAAAGAAAUCAACCGAGAUUCCCCCAGUAGCGGCGAGCGAACGGGGAGGAGCCCAGAGCCUGAAUCAGUGUGUGUGUUAGUGGAAGCGUCUGGAAAGGCGCGCGAUACAGGGUGACAGCCCCGUACACAAAAAUGCACAUGCUGUGAGCUCGAUGAGUAGGGCGGGACACGUGGUAUCCUGUCUGAAUAUGGGGGGACCAUCCUCCAAGGCUAAAUACUCCUGACUGACCGAUAGUGAACCAGUACCGUGAGGGAAAGGCGAAAAGAACCCCGGCGAGGGGAGUGAAAAAGAACCUGAAACCGUGUACGUACAAGCAGUGGGAGCCUCUUUUAUGGGGUGACUGCGUACCUUUUGUAUAAUGGGUCAGCGACUUAUAUUCUGUAGCAAGGUUAACCGAAUAGGGGAGCCGAAGGGAAACCGAGUCUUAACUGGGCGUUAAGUUGCAGGGUAUAGACCCGAAACCCGGUGAUCUAGCCAUGGGCAGGUUGAAGGUUGGGUAACACUAACUGGAGGACCGAACCGACUAAUGUUGAAAAAUUAGCGGAUGACUUGUGGCUGGGGGUGAAAGGCCAAUCAAACCGGGAGAUAGCUGGUUCUCCCCGAAAGCUAUUUAGGUAGCGCCUCGUGAAUUCAUCUCCGGGGGUAGAGCACUGUUUCGGCAAGGGGGUCAUCCCGACUUACCAACCCGAUGCAAACUGCGAAUACCGGAGAAUGUUAUCACGGGAGACACACGGCGGGUGCUAACGUCCGUCGUGAAGAGGGAAACAACCCAGACCGCCAGCUAAGGUCCCAAAGUCAUGGUUAAGUGGGAAACGAUGUGGGAAGGCCCAGACAGCCAGGAUGUUGGCUUAGAAGCAGCCAUCAUUUAAAGAAAGCGUAAUAGCUCACUGGUCGAGUCGGCCUGCGCGGAAGAUGUAACGGGGCUAAACCAUGCACCGAAGCUGCGGCAGCGACACUGUGUGUUGUUGGGUAGGGGAGCGUUCUGUAAGCCUGUGAAGGUGUACUGUGAGGUAUGCUGGAGGUAUCAGAAGUGCGAAUGCUGACAUAAGUAACGAUAAAGCGGGUGAAAAGCCCGCUCGCCGGAAGACCAAGGGUUCCUGUCCAACGUUAAUCGGGGCAGGGUGAGUCGACCCCUAAGGCGAGGCCGAAAGGCGUAGUCGAUGGGAAACAGGUUAAUAUUCCUGUACUUGGUGUUACUGCGAAGGGGGGACGGAGAAGGCUAUGUUGGCCGGGCGACGGUUGUCCCGGUUUAAGCGUGUAGGCUGGUUUUCCAGGCAAAUCCGGAAAAUCAAGGCUGAGGCGUGAUGACGAGGCACUACGGUGCUGAAGCAACAAAUGCCCUGCUUCCAGGAAAAGCCUCUAAGCAUCAGGUAACAUCAAAUCGUACCCCAAACCGACACAGGUGGUCAGGUAGAGAAUACCAAGGCGCUUGAGAGAACUCGGGUGAAGGAACUAGGCAAAAUGGUGCCGUAACUUCGGGAGAAGGCACGCUGAUAUGUAGGUGAAGCGACUUGCUCGUGGAGCUGAAAUCAGUCGAAGAUACCAGCUGGCUGCAACUGUUUAUUAAAAACACAGCACUGUGCAAACACGAAAGUGGACGUAUACGGUGUGACGCCUGCCCGGUGCCGGAAGGUUAAUUGAUGGGGUCAGCGCAAGCGAAGCUCUUGAUCGAAGCCCCGGUAAACGGCGGCCGUAACUAUAACGGUCCUAAGGUAGCGAAAUUCCUUGUCGGGUAAGUUCCGACCUGCACGAAUGGCGUAAUGAUGGCCAGGCUGUCUCCACCCGAGACUCAGUGAAAUUGAACUCGCUGUGAAGAUGCAGUGUACCCGCGGCAAGACGGAAAGACCCCGUGAACCUUUACUAUAGCUUGACACUGAACAUUGAGCCUUGAUGUGUAGGAUAGGUGGGAGGCUUAGAAGUGUGGACGCCAGUCUGCAUGGAGCCGACCUUGAAAUACCACCCUUUAAUGUUUGAUGUUCUAACGUUGACCCGUGAUCCGGGUUGCGGACAGUGUCUGGUGGGUAGUUUGACUGGGGCGGUCUCCUCCUAAAGAGUAACGGAGGAGCACGAAGGUUGGCUAAUCCUGGUCGGACAUCAGGAGGUUAGUGCAAUGGCAUAAGCCAGCUUGACUGCGAGCGUGACGGCGCGAGCAGGUGCGAAAGCAGGUCAUAGUGAUCCGGUGGUUCUGAAUGGAAGGGCCAUCGCUCAACGGAUAAAAGGUACUCCGGGGAUAACAGGCUGAUACCGCCCAAGAGUUCAUAUCGACGGCGGUGUUUGGCACCUCGAUGUCGGCUCAUCACAUCCUGGGGCUGAAGUAGGUCCCAAGGGUAUGGCUGUUCGCCAUUUAAAGUGGUACGCGAGCUGGGUUUAGAACGUCGUGAGACAGUUCGGUCCCUAUCUGCCGUGGGCGCUGGAGAACUGAGGGGGGCUGCUCCUAGUACGAGAGGACCGGAGUGGACGCAUCACUGGUGUUCGGGUUGUCAUGCCAAUGGCACUGCCCGGUAGCUAAAUGCGGAAGAGAUAAGUGCUGAAAGCAUCUAAGUACGAAACUUGCCCCGAGAUGAGUUCUCCCUGACCCUUUAAGGGUCCUGAAGGAACGUUGAAGACGACGACGUUGAUAGGCCGGGUGUGUAAGCGCAGCGAUGCGUUGAGCUAACCGGUACUAAUGAACCGUGAGGCUUAACC
rnacentral:rRNA from 2 species